UAAGACGUAGGGGGCCAGCGUUGUUCGGAAUUACUGGGUGUAAAGGGUCAGUAGGCGGUGUGGCAAGUCGGGAGUGAAAUCUUUGGGCUCAACCCAGAGGCUGCUUCCGAAACUGCUGUGCUUGAGUGUGGGAGAGGCGCGUGGAAUUGCAGGUGUAGCGGUGAAAUGCGUAGAUAUCUGCAGGAACACCCGUGGCGAAAGCGGCGCGCUGGACCACAACUGACGCUGAAUGACGAAAGCUAGGGGAGCAAACAGGAUUAGAUACCCUGGUAGUCCUAGCCCUAAACGAUCAGGACUUGGGGUGCCACCCGUUCGGGUGUCGUCCCGGAGCUAACGCGUUAAGUCCUGCACCUGGGGAGUACGGUCGCAAGACU
rnacentral:rRNA from 1 species